rnacentral:lncRNA from 1 species
CAUGGGCUGAUUCAGACUUUCAAGGUUCAGAAAACAGCUUGAAGAGCCAAUCGGUAUGAAGGUGUUGCUCCUUUGUACCAGAUCGUAAAUAAAAGAGGACAUGGUUCAGAUUUGUGACUACUGUGUGCUCUUGGACAGCUGAGGUACAUGUUAGUUUUCUUUAACUGUAGAAGAGAAAUUCUUGUGAAUUAGGAUAUUAGGUGUACACAUUACGUUUAUCCUGAAUCAUGUUCUCAAUGCACUAUCUACCUAUCCAAGUAUUCAAGGGAAUUGAUGGUGGCGGAAUACAUGCGUUUGCUCGUGCCCUUGUGCUCCUUGCUGCUCGACCUUUUUUGGUGUUCCAGCAUGACUCUGUGGCCAAUCUUACUGAGAUUGUUGGUACUGUUCUAACUUAUGAUAAUGUUGAUCGGCAGGGAGAGGGGAUCAGAACAGGGACGUUGGUGGUGUUCGAGAUGUAUCGGUGGUCAGCCGUUGGCAGGGCCCUCAUGGAGACACUGGACAAGAUGGUGCUCAGUGGUUUGCUCAGCCCCAAGCUUUCCUUAAGUGUCCUCCUGCAGUCCGGUAAGGUCCAUUCGACAUUUGCUCAUUUGUGAAUCAAUCAACAAGCCUAUAAAAUAAUAAUUUCAUGAAGUUGGGUGUUUUUAUCUUGAUCUUUUUGUUUCUUUUAGUCCAUGAGCGGUUGGAGCACC